rnacentral:rRNA from 1 species
GACGGGUGAGUAAUGUCUGGGAAACUGCCUGAUGGAGGGGGAUAACUACUGGAAACGGUAGCUAAUACCGCAUAACGUCGCAAGACCAAAGAGGGGGACCUUCGGGCCUCUUGCCAUCGGAUGUGCCCAGAUGGGAUUAGCUAGUAGGUGGGGUAACGGCUCACCUAGGCGACGAUCCCUAGCUGGUCUGAGAGGAUGACCAGCCACACUGGAACUGAGACACGGUCCAGACUCCUACGGGAGGCAGCAGUGGGGAAUAUUGCACAAUGGGCGCAAGCCUGAUGCAGCCAUGCCGCGUGUAUGAAGAAGGCCUUCGGGUUGUAAAGUACUUUCAGCGGGGAGGAAGGGAGUAAAGUUAAUACCUUUGCUCAUUGACGUUACCCGCAGAAGAAGCACCGGCUAACUCCGUGCCAGCAGCCGCGGUAAUACGGAGGGUGCAAGCGUUAAUCGGAAUUACUGGGCGUAAAGCGCACGCAGGCGGUUUGUUAAGUCAGAUGUGAAAUCCCCGGGCUCAACCUGGGAACUGCAUCUGAUACUGGCAAGCUUGAGUCUCGUAGAGGGGGGUAGAAUUCCAGGUGUAGCGGUGAAAUGCGUAGAGAUCUGGAGGAAUACCGGUGGCGAAGGCGGCCCCCUGGACGAAGACUGACGCUCAGGUGCGAAAGCGUGGGGAGCAAACAGGAUU